ACCGACAUGUUUCGGACAGGUGGCAGCUUCAGGAAGAUGUUCGCUCCGAAGUCUGCUCCAUAUGCUAUUGUUGUUGUUGAUGUAGGGUUUCAGGUGUGUCAUUCGCUUGGGGGAGGGACUAGCUCCGGCAUGGGGACGCUGCUGAUCUCCAAGGCUCUCUAUGACAUAUGCUUCAGGACUCUCAAGCUCGCUACGCCCACGUGGUUGCUGCUCACUGGACUCCAAAUUCAAGGGAUAAGAUUAUACUUCAGUAUGAUGAUGUGAUGAAAUUGGAUUUUGGCACCCAUGUAGAUGGUGCAUCAGCAAUUCACCAUGUUCUCUGCCCCAGCCAACAACCAAGAUACACAAAUUUAUUCACUUGACCAACCCCUGAAUGUUUCGGUGUGGCCAGUAAUUAAUGCUAGCUAAUUCAACAUUUUUCAUCAAGAGGGUUCUUCAAUGACAAAUACAAAUGGUGACGCAAUGAGGGGAGAGAACUGGUGCAGAUAUUGCUUGCAGCUGGAGCUGAUCCAUCUGCUCAAGAUUCACAGAAUGGGAGGACAGCUUUGCAUACUAGUGAACAGGCAUAAAAAUGAGGUGAAGAAGCAUUAAUGUGGUAGGAGUAGUAUUUUCUUUUCUUGGUAGCAUGUUGCAUCGUAUCUUACAUGAAGUAAACUGUGUGCUUGUGUGUCCCCCGCACAAGGUCCCAAAAGAAUAAAAAGGCAGAACAAAAGUGGGAAUAUGGAAUAUCAGCCGCGACAAACAAGCGUAAAACCACGGUAUCUUUGGCAUCUUAGUACUGUUAAAGUUGAAUUUGGAUCCAACCCGGUUAGAAUUUUGAAUAUUGAGGUAAAUAAAGGUACCUAAAGCACAGUCCACACUGCGUGCUCUCCAAUCUCAAAGCCUGAAAGUCUUAAUUGGUGUCUUAAAGCAACUAUCAUAUCCUAUCCAAGGAUUUCCACCUUGUGGAGAUUGCUGCCUCUUGCUUCCAUCAAUUUUCAUUUAUUAAAUAUGCAUAAUCCUAAUUUAGUCUUUAAUUUUUUUGUAACAAACUAUUCACUUUAUUAGUGUGAGCAGGUUAUAUAUUUGAACCUUUUGCACUGGAUUUUAUAUAUGAACCAUUAUAAGUGUGAGCAGGUUAUGUUUGACUCAUAAGAGAACACAUUUUAGUUUUGAAUUUUGUUUACUUCGUAGAAAUAAUUGGCAGUUUAUAUGUUCCCUAUCU